GAAGGUGAGGGCCAUCUGGCUCAACAUCUGUCACCCCAUUGGCCACCAGAGUUGAUUUGGCUGCCCUGACUGGCUGGCUGGCAGGUGUCCCCUGUCUCUCUCUCCAUUCCAUGUGCAUCCCUCCCAAAGCUGUGCGCUCAGUCGAAAAGGACAACCUUCCCCAACAGAAGAGGAUGGUUCUUCAGUCAAGGGUACAGGAGUAGCUGUGUGCCCUGCUGGAACUUCCAACCAAUUCUCAAGGUCCAUCUGUAGGAGAACACAGGGUAGGUAGGCUUCAGACUCCAGGUGCAUCCAAACAAGGCAUGGCAUGUGGCAGUCUGCCUUUCUUU
rnacentral:snRNA from 1 species